rnacentral:rRNA from 1 species
AGUGGCGGACGGGUGAGUAACGCGUAAGAAUCUAACUUCAGGACGGGGACAACAGUGGGAAACGACUGCUAAUACCCGAUGUGCCGCAAGGUGAAACCUAAUUGGCCUGGAGAAGAGCUUGCGUCUGAUUAGCUAGUUGGUGGGGUAAAGGCCUACCAAGGCGACGAUCAGUAGCUGGUCUGAGAGGAUGAGCAGCCACACUGGGACUGAGACACGGCCCAGACUCCUACGGGAGGCAGCAGUGGGCAAUUUUCCGCAAUGGGCGAAAGCCUGACGGAGCAACGCCGCGUGAGGGAGGAAGGUCUUUGGAUUGUAAACCUCUUUUCUCAAGGAAGAAGUUCUGACGGUACUUGAGGAAUCAGCCUCGGCUAACUCCGUGCCAGCAGCCGCGGUAAUACGGGGGAGGCAAGCGUUAUCCGGAAUUAUUGGGCGUAAAGCGUCCGCAGGUGGUCAGCCAAGUCUGCCGUCAAAUCAGGUUGCUUAACGACCUAAAGGCGGUGGAAACUGGCAGACUAGAGAGCAGUAGGGGUAGCAGGAAUUCCCAGUGUAGCGGUGAAAUGCGUAGAGAUUGGGAAGAACAUCGGUGGCGAAAGCGUGCUACUGGGCUGUAUCUGACACUCAGGGACGAAAGCUAGGGGAGCGAAAGGGAUUAGAUACCCCUGUAGUCCUAGCCGUAAACGAUGGAUACUAGGCGUGGCUU